AACGCCAUUGCUUCCAAUACGAGGUGAACACGGUAACCCCGAGGCUCGAAGUAAAACUCAACGCUCCUGUUUGGCCGCUGAGAAAAGAGGGGAAACUAGGGAAUACCUGUAAAUGGAGGAGAAACUCAAGUGUUUGGCGUUGUCAGUAGCUGGAGCUCUUCUCGGUUCCGUUUCAACAGUGGCUCUUCUAAAGUUUCUUCCAGGAAGGGUCCUGAGGCUAGAUGAUAAACAUUCCAUAGAAUUGAAUGGUGAGUUCAGCCAUGGAAAGGACUGAAACCUUAUUCUUUUUUGUUAAAAGGCCCGUUGGAAAUGGGCUGCUGCUUCCAUAUGGGAACAAAACGCACCGUUUCCUUAAACGGUGCGUUUUGGCUGCUGCUCCACCAGAAGAAGAGGUACAAAUACCUCUUCUUCUGCACCAGAAAACCCUUGACCGGAUUUCUCCUUCUCUUCUCUUCUUCUGCGCCGACACACACCAGAAACCCUUGGGUUUCUGCAAUUUCCUUUCUAUUUUACAGAUCCAAAGCUUGAAGCUUGACGUGAAAACACAGCAGCAAAUUUCUUCUUCAAUGGAGUAGAGGUAUUGUAUAUUUAUUUUCAUAUUUUAUCAAAGGAGUCCAUUGUUGUUUAGAAAGCCUAGGGGCUGAAUAUUUUUUCUGGUGUGUAUAAAAGAGAAGAAAGCCAUUUUGUAACUGGAGUAUGAUCAGCUAUUUUGUUUCGAAGGGGCAGAGUGUUUGUAUGUUCAUUAACAUUUAUUUUUGUUUUUUCGGGUGAGAUCUAUGUUUUAACACCUUUUUUUUUGGAUGAAA